CCCCGUCAGGUUCGCUAGUGACCUGCGGAAGGAUCAUUACCGAGUGAGGGCCCUCUGGGUCCAACCUCCCACCCGUGUUUAUUUUACCUUGUUGCUUCGGCGGGCCCGCCUUAACUGGCCGCCGGGGGGCUUACGCCCGCGGGGCCGCGCCCGCCGAAGACUCCCUCCAAUUCUGUCUGAAGAUUGUUCUCUGAGUGAAAAUAUCAAUUAUUUAAUACUUUCAACAACUGAUCUGUUGCUUCCGGCAUCGAUGAACAACGCAACGUACUGCGAUACGUGAUGUGUAUUGAAUAUUCAGUGAAUCAUCAACUCUUUGAACGCAUAUUGCCCCCCCUGGUAUUCCGGGGGGCAUGCCUGUCCGAGCGUCUUUUCUGCCCUCAACCACCUCUUGUGUGUUGGGCCCCGUCCUCCGAUCCCGGGGGACGGACCCGAAAGGCUCCCUCCGCCCCGCAUCCGGUCCUCUAGCUUAUGGGGUUUUGUCACCCGCUCUGUACGCCCCGCCGGCGCUUGCCUAUCAACCCAAAUUUUUAUCCAGGUUGACCUCGAAUCACGUCUGAAUUCCCGCUGAUCUUAAGCAUAUCAAUAANCGGAGGAA
rnacentral:rRNA from 1 species